rnacentral:misc_RNA from 1 species
AUGUAAUAUGGACUUCCAACUAUCUCAUUGAACUUUUCACCAGGUUUGAAAAACACUGACAGUCCAAAAUCAAUAGCCUUCAAAGCUGCAGUCUCCUUCUUGUUUGCAAACAAAAAGUUUUCAGGUUUUAGAUCCCGAUGCAUCACCCCAAGCUUAUGGCACAUCUGAACAACCUCCACAAUGGUCUUUGUAACAGCAGCAGCAGCUCUCUCAGUGUAAUGCCCUCUAGCCACGAUUCUAUCAAACAACUCUCCACCCUCACACAACUCCAUCACCAGAUGCACUGCGUUAUCAUCCUCAUAUGUGUCCUUCAAACUCACAAUAUUAGGAUGCUUAGGCAAAUGCCUCAUGAUCUGCACUUCUCUCCUGACAUCUUCGAUGUCCACUGCUGUCCUUAGCUUCUUCUUAGAGAUUGAUUUGCAGGCGAAAGUGUCUCUAGUCUCCUUGUCUGUACAUAAGUAUGUUAUUCCAAAUUCACCCCUACCUAGCUCUCGGCCUAGCUCAUAUCUUUGCUCGAUUUCUCGUCCUGUUGGGUCUUUUAAGACGGUGAGCUUGUGCUGGACUCCAUUGCUGUGACCAUAAUCGAUAGCAAAUGGAUUUUGUUUCUUCUUGUUCUUCUUAUGCUCGUGUUUUGAGGCCGUUGAAGGGGUAACACAACAAUUACCCAUGAAUCAGAAAUUAAAAAAACAUAUAAAUUUGACCCAGAAAAAGUCUUGUUUGUUGGGAUUUCUGUGGCUCCUGGUGUGAUGGGUAUUUGGAUUUGAAGCGAAAAAUGAAUUCAGAUCGAUAAAAAAAAAAAUUUGUUAUUUUCAGUCAA